rnacentral:rRNA from 1 species
GAUGAACGCUGGCGGCGUGCCUAAUACAUGCAAGUCGAGCGAACGGACGAGAAGCUUGCUUUUCUGAUGUUAGCGGCGGACGGGUGAGUAACACGUGGAUAACCUACCUAUAAGACUGGGAUAACUUCGGGAAACCGGAGCUAAUACCGGAUAAUAUUUUGAACUGCAUGGUUCAAAAGUGAAAGACGGUCUUGCUGUCACUUAUAGAUGGAUCCGCGCUGCAUUAGCUAGUUGGUAAGGUAACGUCUUACCAAGGCAACGAUGCAUAGCCGACCUGAGAGGGUGAUCGGCCACACUGGAACUGAGACACGGUCCAGACUCCUACGGGAGGCAGCAGUAGGGAAUCUUCCGCAAUGGGCGAAAGCCUGACGGAGCAACGCCGCGUGAGUGAUGAAGGUCUUCGGAUCGUAAAACUCUGUUAUUAGGGAAGAACAUAUGUGUAAGUAACUGUGCACAUCUUGACGGUACCUAAUCAGAAAGCCACGGCUAACUACGUG